CGACAAUAUACUUAAAGAAAAUAAUCUGGUUCAAUACAAGGUUGAUUCAGCAAAGAGACUACAGAUCUUCUGUAACUAAAUUCAGAUAAGCAUGAGCUAUUGGAUCACCAGAUUUUUUAACAUCUACAGAGGAAAAAAGAAAGGAAGAAAAGCAAAGGAACUUUAAAAUUUCCACAGG